GCGGGUGUAAUUCAUCGGUUAGAAUGUCACUUUUCCAAAGUGAACGUAAGGGGUUCGAUUCCCCUCACCCGCU
rnacentral:tRNA from 1 species